GGACAGCAGCUCAGGUGGCCUAACAUAAAAUACAGGCUGAAAUGAGCCAUAGAAACUAUAAAGAGUAAAAGAAAUGAAAGAUUGAGUGCUGAAUAAUGGAAGCAUAGUCCAUCUACAGGUGUUAACGUCGUUGAAGUCUUGACUGCAUAUCUCUGGCCACAGCAGGGAGCCAUCUCUCCCCCCUAAUUUUUUUUAAUGCUGCAACUCUUUCUUCCUCUCUUUUAGCAGCUGCUUUAGCUGCUGCUUCUCUUGCUUCUAGUCUGGCCAAUGAUUUCUGGCAAGCAUUUUUAGAUGCAGCUAAAAUAUCCAUCCCAUCAACAGCAAUAGACUUGAUUUGGUUUUUGAACUCUUUUGAGUUCUCCUCAAAUUCCUUCCCAGGACGAAUUCUUGGUUUCUUUCUGGGUUUUUGGAGUUCAUCUGUGUGAUCAAACAGAAUCCCAGGUGGAGCACGCCUAAACAACCGGACUCCACCUCCAUUCAUUGAGGGUGUUUCUUCGUGUGAAGCAUCAUCAACGCGUCUCACUAUGUCU
rnacentral:misc_RNA from 1 species